rnacentral:rRNA from 1 species
UACGUAGGGGGCAAGCGUUAUCCGGAUUCAUUGGGCGUAAAGCGCGCGUAGGCGGCUUGUUAAGUCAGGUGUGAAAACCGGGGGCUCAACCCGCGGACUGCAUCUGAAACUGGCAGGCUUGAGUCUGGUAGAGGAGUGUGGAAUUCCUAGUGUAGCGGUGAAAUGCGCAGAUAUUAGGAGGAACACCAGUGGCGAAGGCGGCACUCUGGGCCACGACUGACGCUGAGGCGCGAAAGCUAGGGGAGCAAAC